CGCGUAGGCGGCCCCUUAAGUCAGAUGUGAAAGCCCUCAGCUUAACUGAGGAAGUGCAUUUGAAACUAAGAGGCUUGAGUAUGGGAGAGGGAAGCGGAAUUCCUGGUGUAGCGGUGAAAUGCGUAGAUAUCAGGAGGAACACCGGUGGCGAAGGCGGCUUCCUGGACCAAUACUGACGCUGAGGCGCGAAGGCGUGGGGAGCAAACA
rnacentral:rRNA from 1 species